rnacentral:RNase_P_RNA from 1 species
UAAGUAAAUCGCCUUAUCGCUGUUCAUGAGAAUGAAUGGAGGAAAGUCCGAACACCAAAGUGCAACAUAGUGGUUAAUAACCACCAGUCGUGAGGCUAGGAAAAGUGCAACAGAAAGUAUGUACAGGUAAUGCUGUAGUGAAACCAGGUAAACUCUGUGUGGUGCAAUGUCAUGUAAACCAGUGCUUGAGAGCGGCACGCUUGAUGCUGGAGGGUAGGCAGCUAAAGUGUAUUGGUAACAAUGCACUCAGAUAAAUGAUAAGGAUGUUUUGAAUUUGAAUUGGGAGAUCCUAAAACAAGUUCAGGACAUACAGAAUUCGGCUUAUAGAUUUGCUUAAUCA